rnacentral:lncRNA from 1 species
ACUUCGGAGCAGGUGCAUGCAAAGAAAAAUGAGAAAAAUAGCAUAUGCACAGGAUUUUAAUAAACUAUUAAUUCGUACUCUAUUUAAAUAACAAACAUGCAUAACCCAUUGCACCAAUACCAAACACGUCUUAAUCUACUACACCAAGCUGGACACGCAAAAAGAACAUAAACCAUUGAACCCGAUAUAAGGUUGUGCCCAUCAAACUUGAUAAUUAAUCAUAAAUAGAUUACUAUAAUUUGUAAAGACAAAAGGAAUAUAUACAAACACUUGCGAACAACAAUUCAUAACGUUUAUACAUAUAUAUAUGUAUCCAUCUAUAAUGAAUCGAAGACACUCAGUCGCAGGAGGUGACAACAAUGAUUUGAGAAAUAUUCGUUCAACACAGACCAAAUAACUAGCAAUGUGAUCCAAUCUUAUAUAUACAAAGAAUGAAAACAUUAAGAAGUUAGGCUAAAUUCGAUGGCUUUAUUAUGACUUCAAAAUUCUACUAAUUCUUCGUCGGUCGAACUAAAACUCGAAGGACGGGAUCAUUUAAGCAAUCAAAUCACUAAACUUUUUUAAGCAAUCAAAUCACUAAACUUAAACAAAAGUCUAUCUUUUGACACUCAUUUGGGCUAAAGCACAUCAUUUGUGAGCUAACCCCACCACUCCCAUUGAUAAUAUGAAUCAAGGGACAUGAGGGAGAUUUUUACCUUACUUGGAAAGAACGAAGCGAAAGUAUAGACAAACGGGCAUCCAACAAAGGAACAAGCAAGAACUUCUCGUUAACAACUUACAGAUUCACAAGAAAAUUGCACUAAAGUUUAAGUCUUUUACAAAGAAACAAUCCUUUCAAUGCCUCAAAACAUUAUAAAGAAUUAAAAUCAUUUCUCAAAAAAAGAAAGGAAGCUUGCUAAGAUAAACUAACAAAAUCCAAAAUUUGCAUAUCGGCAUAACUAAAUUACUAUCCUAGCUACUGUUAGGCUCAAUCACAGAAACCUAAAGAAAGUUAUGAAGUCACUUUAGACGUUUCGAGCAUAAUGAACACACAGAUGUAAAGGACGCAUCAAAACAGGUUUAAACUAGCACAUGCUAGCAUUAACUAUGAGAAAGACACCAGAUUUUUUUUUUGUUUACUAAGCAGGAAGAUGGAAGAUACACCAAACGUGAAUAUCAAAAUCGUUCAAAAUUCAAUCAAGGCCCAGCCAACCUACAAACUAGCUAAACAUAUAUUCUUGAAUCUAAUCAUUCCGGAAACAACGACCAUAUUAGAUGAACACCUAUAAUAACAGUAUACACACCAGAUUUAAGCACACAAGGUACUGAUCCUUAAGGCAGCCUCCGGUGAACGUUGAAUCGAUAAACAACUCAAAGAUCACUUAUCAUAGGCAAAACCUAAGGCCAGUGAGGCGCCUACAGCAAACAAACCCAGCAUACAGGGUGAUCUCAAGAUUACUCACGACUACAGAAUGAUGAGAUGAAGAAGAAGCAAACGAAAGCUUAAAUGGAGUAGGAUAUUACCUUUCCGAGAGCAGCAAAACAAGACAACGAGUUAAUCGCUAGGACCGUCACCACCGGGAACUGAUAUUAUCGACUUGAGAACUUCCGAAUUGAUCGACCAACUUCCAAAAGGAAAAGAAAGGAGAAAACUUUGCUAUGAAGGAAAGCUUUUAGCUCUAGGAUCCUUUGCCUUUUCCACUCAAAAUUUUCUAACCAAAAUUUUUCCAACCUAGCUCUCUCGAAAAAAUUUUCCCAACCCCUAAUUUUUCUGAACCCUAAUUUCUCUGAAAAAAAAGAGACCUCCGAAAACAAUACCCAGCUGGUUCUUAUACAGAAGACCAAAUCGGGGGUAGUUUAGGGAUGGAAAAAUCAAAAUUCAAAAAAAUGGCUAACCCCCUUCUAACUGACUCUCCCUUUUGGAUUUAUCUCCCAAGAAAAAGACGAAAUUGGCGGACCAAUAGAAUUCUUCCAAAACCAAUUCCCCUCAGGAACCAAUCGAAAUCCCCCAAAUGGGUAUGGAAUCGUACCCUUAUCCCGAGAUUUACGGGAUUGAUCCGUUGGGGGAAGACACCUCACCAUUUUUAGAAGCUUCAAGGUCUUCCUCGUCGUACUAUUGCGUGGAACGCGUGAAGAAGGAUAGGGUUGGGUUGAAACUGGGUUGGUUCGAACUGAAUUCGGGUCAGCGUCGAUGGGUUCGAAGUUGGUCGAUGUUGUCAUUUGGUUGUACGUUGAAUAUUUGGUUGUUGUACCUUGGGGAAUUGACUGUUGUUGCUGAUUCAAGAAGAAAGAAACCCUUGGUGGACC